UAUAUAUAUAUAUAUAUAUCUAUCUAUGCACGCACACACACAUAUAUACAUAUUUGUUAUUUUGCUUCUAUAACUACUGGCACUACAACUGCUGUUUCUCCUUUUUGGGUUAGCUUUGAACCGAUUUCCGUUAGUGAUUAAGAUAUUGUUUUUGUUCUAUAUUUUUCUGUUUUUCUGCUGGCUUGGUCAAUAAUUUGAUGAUAUAAUAAAGGGCUCUCUAGCUAUUGCACAGAAACAUUAAUAUUACUAGCAUUAUUUAAUGGGUCUUCUAGUUGUAUCUUGAAGUGGGACAAAGAGACAGGAAUUUUAUAUGUAAUGGAUCUUGUGGUUGUUUUAACUUCAUGUUCGCUAAUCCUGUCGUUUUCGUGUUUUCCUUGAUGGGAACACAAGUAGAACUAAUUUAGUAGUCAUUUCAAGCAUUUGUAAAAGGAGGUAUCUUUCUGUUUACUAUUGUUAGGAGUCCUAGCAUGAUUAGGGAUGGAAUAAUUGAAUAAGAAGUUGCAUAAGAGUUUUAAUUUUUCUUCUUUUCUUUCUUUUCUUAUGCCUGUUUAUCUCUUAUAUCUAUCUAAGUUGUCUUCUCUCGUGUUAGUUAAGUGUGGAAGUUUGGUUCUGCUCCUCUGUCUUUUCUCUCUCCUUUUUCUGCUGUUUUGAAGCUUCGAUAUUACCACUGUUUCUAGUAUGUAGUGAACACAAGUGGAUUCAGAAUGUUUCUUGGGGAAGUCCACUCUACCAAAUCAGCCCAGUGAUAGUCUUGAUAGAUUCGGAUGGUGGACCAGUGGCAGCUGCAAAUUUAGUACUUCCGAUAUUGUGUAACAGUGUUAGGAGUGCCACUUCAGCACAAUCUAAAAUAGAAGAUGGUGUUAAAAACUUGUAUGCGUCUCCCGAAGUGAGGGAGGAUUUCUCUUUGAAGUAAUGCCUAGAUGAUAAAACUCCUUAAAAUAUUAGUUUUCAAAGCAAGGUAGACGAUAGAUGGUAGGACUAAGGGAAAGUGUAGAACAAAAUUGAAUCUAGAGUCGGUAAUUUGUAAAAGUCUAGGUUUUUUGGAUAUCAUGGAACCCAAUGGCCGCAAUAGAACCCAAUGGAGACAACGGGUUCAUCUAUUCAACCCCAAACACGACUCUGUUUGGUUUGGUUGAUAGUCUUCAAACCAAGGGAAAUCUGAAAUACUAGGAUGGUUCAUUCCGAGUUCUGAGGAACAUAGGUCAAAUUUUAUGCUGCUGACCAGGCCUUGCAAUAGUGGAGAAAUUAUUGAUUAAGUGAACUUCAUAUCCUGCUCUCUCAAAUUCUGUUUUUCACUCUUUACUGAUCUCAACAAAGGGAAAGAUAUCGGAUUCAUCAAAGGGCAUUGAAGAGGAAGACGAGAUUGUUUCACUGUAUCUUUUGACAUUACGAAGAGUCUCACUGGAGAAUGGAGGACAUCUAGAUGAGGAUGUAGAAUCGAUAAAAAAAAUGUUUUUUUAGUGUAAAAUUCAUUACCAAAAGGAGCAAGUAGCAACAUCAAACACCGGGCAUACCCCUUAAACUCAAGAUGCAGAAACCACUAGGGGCCAAACAUCCCUAACCAAAACACACACAAGAAACUAAGCUACGUAUUUGUUUAUUUCAAAAACUUUAGAAGAAAGCAGCCAUUUUUCAAACAGCUCCUAUUCAAUCAGUGAAAUUCAAAUAAGCGCAACUGCUCACUUUUGCUCUAAUUUCAUCAAACACAACUCUUCUCACAGUCCCCACCUCCAUAGCUAUCUUUUGAAAGAUUCUCAUGUCUUUCCUUCCAAAUGAAGUAUGUAGAUGCAUAGGUGCAGGUAAGAAAAUUUUGUAAAUGGCAGUCCUGAACACCUUACCUUUCCUGUGCUGGCAUGCC